GAACAUCAGCGCUUCACACACUGACUGACUCACAUCAGUCUACAGUAAGACUACUACAACAGAAGAGACACAACUACGAUUACUUAUAAUUGCGCUCAAUAAUCUGAAUAUCAGAUGAAGAUUCAUUCACUGAUUAUAAAUGUAAAGCUGCUGAUUCAUUUGUUCAACAAGUAAACAAAGUACUGAAUAACCUGAAAGAGGAGCUCUGAAUCGGAACUAUGCAUUAACAAACAUUUAAAUUACUUACAAUAAUUAAGUGCUGCUAGACGUGUGGUGGUGAUUUAAUAAGGUAAAUACACUGGAACAGAAGGAGACUUACAGGUGAGUCGCGUGACAUCUUCCAUUCCUGCGCUUUAUCACAGCGUUUGUCAGUUUGGUUUGUUUAUGGGUUGAAAUGUGUGCUGUUAACUGGCUAUGUAGGUCUGUAACUGAGCUGUCAUCUGCAGAAUUUAUACUUAAAUCAGUCUGCACGUGUUGUUGCCACUGUUAUCAAGAGUCAUGUUGUCAAGCAUCCGAAGCUGUCAAACUAAACUGAAGCCCGAUGAUGCCGCUUGGUGGAGCGGAUGAAAAACUGCACAUCUGUUCUUACCUUAAAAGCCAUAUUUUAUUACCAACGGACUCAAAGUUGCUUCAGAGGUUGGGUCAUUGUCCAUGUUAGAAAAAAAAAGAAUCGAGCAGCAUUUAGUAAAGCUGGACUGAAUCGUCCUCUGCGUCACUGAUGAGGAGGAUGUGAGUCUGUCUGGAGCUCUGGAUGAUCAUGAGGCUAUAGAUGGAGGAGUGAGACUCUGGCUUCUUCACACCUACAAAAUCAAACAUCACAACAUUUAAUAUACAGAUUAAACCAAAGUAAAAUUGGCUGGUGGAAAUGAUUCUCAGAUGGUUCGGAGAGCAUCCCCUCAUACAUAGAAGACGUGGUUUGGAGAAUGGAUGGAUGGAUGGAUGGAUGGAUAACAGGCACAUGCAUAAGACCAGAAUCACCAGAUCAAUGUGUUAAUGUGUGUGUUAAUCUCCAUUAAUUCAUGGACAAUAAUUGUAACUGCAUUAAUUCGUUAAAAAGCAGGAGAAUGGGAAAAACUCAUAAAGGGAUAUCAUCUACUUUCCUGAUUUUAGCCCCAACCCUGAUUAAAAACAGUUGAAGCAGCAAAUCAAGGUCUUCAGGAUUAAUAGAAACUUUCAGGCUGAUGUGUUGGACUAGUGUCCAGUAACAAUAUAAAAGUUUAUUUGAAUCAACAUAUUGCUAUUUACAAGUUGUGUAUCUGUGAAACAGCAUUAUCAGUUUCAGUUUGAAAUUUGUUACGACCUCAGGCUCCAAAAGGCUGCAACAAAGAAAGGGACACAUGCAGAUAUCCAAAAUAACUCAAGAUUUAUUAGCAAAACAGAAAAUGAAACAAACGAGUGCUACUGGUAACGUCAGUAGAAUCAGUAAUGUAGAGGAAGGUGUAUGAAUGAUGUACUGUAGCCCAUGUGCAAAUGUAACAAAGGAAAAGAGUAAGAACAACAAAAUGAACCAAAAGAUGGAGCCACCUCAUGUUAGUAGAAUGUCUCCUUUUAAAUGACAGGACGAUAGGGAAGCCAGGGGUAGGUGAUGAAACCACUUAGGGAAUCAACCAUCUUCCAAAUACGGGGGGAGGGGGAGUUUGGGCAAUGCACACCGGACUGUCACAACAUGUAAAAUUAAUAAAGUUAUUAAUGAUAAUCUGUAUGUGACUGAUUUGGAUCAAAUCUCUUGAUUGUAGAACCUUCUAACUAAGGCUAAAUCUAAAUAACUUUUAAAAAUACACAAAUGCAAAUAUUCUCAACCUCAUUCAGCUUUGCAAUGGUGGGGGGUGGGGGUUUGAACUACUGAUCUAUAAUAGAGAACAAGCAGUGCUUUGAACCCUGAUCUACUCCAUCAGGUUUAGCUCCCACACCUUGAGCUUUCACCACUAAUGCACCAGUAUCUUACACUAACAAAUGUUCUUUUGUAUCAUUUAAAGAAAACACAAAUGCAUACUUUAAAAUAAAUAAAUAAAUAAGAUAAAACAAAUAAAUAAAUAUAAUAAUAAUAAUAAUAAUAAUAAUAGCAAACACAAUCAGAUUUUA
rnacentral:lncRNA from 1 species